rnacentral:lncRNA from 1 species
UGGAAGGGUACCUAUGUGUGUCUAGAGGGUCUUGUAUGCUAUUAGAUAUAAGUGCUAUAUGCUGAUAUGUGAUAUGUAUUUGUUAUGUAUGCUAUGUAUGAUAAGGACCGGAAGGUCAAGAUGAUAUGGACCGGAAGGUCAAGAUGACAUGGACCGGAAGGUUAGGAGGUACGGACCGGAAGGUCGAUAUGGGUAAGACCGGAAGGUCUACCGGGAUUCGGGACGAAAGUCCCCUAAGACACUUGGACCAGAAGUUUCCACAGAGUUAUGGCCAGGAAAGUUGUGUGUGUUGUAUGUAGUAUUUUGGGGAACUAACUAAGCAUUUAUGCUUACAGUGUUAUGUUAUGUGUUUCAGGUACCAGUGAGGAUCGCGGGAAGGCGCCGACUUGAUAAAUACACACACAUGAGUAGUUUUACAUAUUAUGAUCUUGGGAUGUGAUGUUACGAGUUGUUAUGAAUGAAAGUGUGUUUUUAAAAUGUGAAAAAUUGUUUUGAAAUAUACAUAGUUACACUAGGGGCGAGACUGGGGUCUCUAUAUUUUUCGGGAAUCGUUAUAUUCCAAGUUAAGUUGUGGUUAUCGCAAUCGAAAAGAAUUGGAGAAGUGAUGUAUGAGUGGGUUGCGGGUCAUGGGUCGUGAGUUAAGUGCUUCAUUGGGAUGAGUGGUUCCAAUUCUGUGUCGGACAAGACUUUCAAGUUUGAGUUUGGCUUUGAUGGUGUAUUGAGUAGGCGAAUGAGAUUCUGCAUUCAGAGAUGGGUUUCAUUUGGAGGGGUAUUGUGUGUCAUCUGAUGUCUUAGACCUGAAUGGGUCAGUUUGUUUGUAUGGGAAGGACCACGAGAUGAAUGGAACUAAUGAUUAGAAGACGACAGAGGUCGAGGGUGAGGCGAUUUUAGUUGGGAUUGUAGUAUUCUUUUGGGGUAAAGGGAACUUCUUGACUUGUGUGUCACAUGUUUGAUUAAUGUCUAAGUCCUAACUAUAAUUGGUAAGACUUGACCCGACCCAGCAUGGUCCAUUUGGGUUGCAUGGUAUCAUGCACUUUGAUAGACUAUAAUGAGAGAAAUAACACUUAAGGUUGAUUAAUAUAUUAUAAGUUCUAAUAUAUUAAUAGGAUUAUUUAAUUAGUAUUGAUCAAGAAUUAAUCUAUAAUUAAUUAAGUGAUCAAAAGAAGACUAAUUAAAUAUAUGGGUUGAUUGUGUAAAUCAUCCAUACUUGUAUAGUGGGCUAAUGCUCCAUGGAUAAUCAAGUUGGGCUAAAACCCAUAGAAUGGUCCAUGGAUGCUCCAUGGUGUAUUUGAACGCAUGGAUCCAAGGAAAUGGAAGGACAUGACAAUUAGGGUUUACCCUAAUUGUAACGACUAUAUAAGAUCAUAUUCUUUGGGAAAAAUCGGCCACUAUGGAUAAUAAGAAAGGGCUAGCCGAUUUUAGGAGUGUUCAAGUUUCUCUCAAGUUAUUCCAAGUGUAUUUGGUGUUGUGUGAACCAUUUGAGGUGUCACACUUGAGGCACUAGGCACUCAAGCUUCAUGAAGACAUUCUACAUCAAAGAGGUGUGUAUUCUAUCUUGUUAUAUUCAUUAUUUUGUAUGCUAGAUUAGGAUAAUACCUUGGAUNACACUUUGGAGUGUUAGAAUACUCAAAACCCAACAGUGGUAUCAGAUCCUAGGUUUGUUUUCUUGUUAUAAUUGCAAAAGUAGCUGAAAAAAUCGAGUUUUGAUGUUGUCUGCACAGCAGACUCGCCGAGUCCAAGGCAAAAUGCAUCCAACUCACCGAGUUGGUUCGUGCACUCGACGAGUUGGACCCCCUGACAGCAUAUAUUCGAUUGUUUUGGCUGGAAUUGGACUAGGAACAUUACCCUAAGAUGUUUUUGGACUUAUAAACUUGUUUUUGAUGUGGUAAUGUUCAUGCUAAUCCAAUUUCUAAGAUAAUUGUCAUAAUUUCAAGAUUUGUAUUAGUUUGUAUGUUCAUGCUAAUUUCUUGAAGAUUGAUGAUUUGAAUUAUCUUGUUCUUAGAUUAAUAGAAAAGUUGUGUGAAAUAGUUGAUUUCAAUCCAUUUUAAUCUAAGAGUUGAUUCCAAAGUGUGUUUUUGUAACUUGUCCUCAAGUUAUAUGAAAAGUCACUUUUAAGAAUCAUAAAACUCAUAAAAGUUGGCAGAGGUUACAAACUGAAGAGUCUAGUUCUAAUUAAACGGUUUUAUGACUCCAUAACUUGUCCUCAAGUUAAGGAGGUUCAAGAGUCUCUUCAUUAAAUAAUAAAUAAAUAAAAGUGUAACCUUAAUUAGUUCCAUAAGUUACAAUAUAAAAAACAGGUUAUUUUUUUUAAAUUAGUUUAAAGUCUUCCAUAACUUGUCCUCAAGUUAUGGAACUUGAAGAGUUUUAAUUAAAACUACUUUACACUCAUAAGUUAUGGAAUUAAUUAGUUUUGAAUAGUUUCAAAACUUGCCCUCAAGUUUUGGAAUUUGAAAAGUUUUCACUUAUGAAUACUUUAAUUCCAAGUUAGCCCUUAUAAUUUUAAAAGUUAAAAUUCAACCCUUAUACUUUAUAAUAUUAUAAGAUAAUAAUAUUUAUAUAUAUGUAUAAGAGUAAAGCCAGUCUUACCGUUAGUAGGCCUCAUUCACGAAACCGGUUUAUAAGGGGGUAUAAGGUUACUGCCUAUAAAAUGGCAGUUUAAUGGGUGUCCACUCACCCACCGCUUCCUUGACCGGUGGAGGGUCGUUAGCCGAACGGGUAGGACAAGGACUAGAAUUCUCCCUUCAUUAAAAGUAUUAAUGAUAAAUACUAAGUAACUAAACUAUCAAAUUCCCUUUCCUGGUAUGAAACCUCAAAGUAUCUUCUACCAAAAAGGAAGAAUCAAGUGACUCUCACCCACCCAUUAAGGAGUCGCUUCGCUUCCGGUUCUUCGGAAGAAUCAAGUGACUUCUCCCAUCUUCAUUGAUCUGGGGGAAAAGGAACCAUCUACCAGUUGGGAAGCUAGACAUCAAGUAAGUGGCUUGAUGAGGAUAACUAAGCUGACACGCCGGAGUUGGCUGCUGGCACAACAGGGUGGUGCCAUACCGCACCGCAGGCGGACGCGCGGUAGCGUUCGUGGUGGUGCUUCAGGAUUCCAAUGUACUGCGUCCAAGAUCAGAACGAGCUUGCCGGCGGACCACUGCCGUCCCAUUCUUGAGUGAGCUGGAGCGCAGCCAUCUUAUCCACUGAACUAGCUAGAAGCUAUCGCUUCGGGUCGAAGCACUAAAAGAAAAGGACCGGGAAAGGCGGCGACAUAGGAACCACGGGACCCCUACUAGUCAAGGAAAAACGGAAGUGCGCUACUGCACACCAGCUGAAAAAGCCCUUUCCCUUUUUAAUAAAAAGAAGGUAAGCUUCAUAGCUCCAAUCUAGUAAAGGGGCUUUGAUGGAUGCCCUUUGUAUAGGUUGGGUUGCUGGAUACGGGAUCCUCGUAGUAGGCUGGACCAACAUCCAACCGAGAGAGGGCAGUCUUUAGAAGCAACAGGUUGGGAAACCAAGAGAACGCUUGGCCUUUUCUUAUCUUCUUCCCGCCCUAGGAGUAGGAGUAGCACAAAAAGAGGGAUUAGCAUUAUGGACCAUAAACCACUAACGCCUUCCUCGUUGGGGCUCCAUACACUGGGAAAAGGCUCUAGCGACGGGAAACCGACCACUAGUUACAAAGCUCCAAUAAGGUAUCGAGAGGGCUAUCACAGUCAAGUGCGAAAUAAUUAGCCCUAUUUGUAAAGUAGCUCUAUUCCUAUUUAGGGAGUGAAGGCUAAAAAUGGCUUUAUGAACCGUUCCGUUCGCCACGCACCGGCCCCAUUCACUUGCUUAUCGUAGAGGCUGUAAGUACACAGUGCCCCACAACUAUGAAUAGUAUAGUGGGGUUGAAAGACAAGAGUGCCCGCCCCUUCUUUCUCAAGUAGGCUACUUUUUCUGGAACACAGUCCGAGAUAACCGUAACCGUGUAUAUAUCUAAAUAUAUCUUCGAUGCGGUCUGUCCGCUUCCACCGCUCUUUCACCUCCCAAAGAGCAAAGUUGGCUUGAUGAGCGCAGAUGAGGAAGCGGGAGCAAGAAAACCAAGAAUAUCUUUCUUGUCCUUCUACUUAAGGGGCAAAGAGAAGCGCUUUUGCUACUGAGAAAGCGAACGGUCAGCGCGAAGGUUCAAGACUUAGCCGAACGUUAGCGAAGCUAGAUUCUCAUAGCGAGGCGCUUCGAGUUAGCGAAGCGCUGUAGUAGGGCCGAAGCCUUACUAAGAAGGGCUAUAAUGCUGAGCCAAGGACGCUCCGCCUUAUCUAUAGAAGCAGUCAACUGACUUCUGAACGAAUUCGCUCCUUGGUUUGGUAAUGGCUUAAUCUAUAGAUAGAAAGCCCUAUGAUGGGAAACUACCACGUUAGGUUUGGAGAGAGAUAGGACCGGUUAUAUAAUAGGGGGAGCAGAUGCAAGCUUUUUCUUUCAAUAGCCGGCCAAAUGACUACAGGAUCAUCGGUCUACUCUACCUCAAUUCACCAUUUCGAACCUUAUACAGAAGGUUUUUCCGUACCAGCUCCUUCUACCUAUACCGCAGUUGAAGCACCUAAAGGAGAAUUUGGUGUCUUUCUGGUCAGUAAUGGAAGCAAUCGUCCCUACCGUCGUAAAAUAAGAGCACCUGGCUCUGCCCAUUCACAAGGACUCGAUUCUAUGUCCAAACAUCACAUGCCAGCAGAUGUGGUCACCAUCAUAGGUACUCAAGAUAUUGUGUAUGGAGAGGUGGAUAGAUAGGACUAAGGGAAUAAUCUUCUUUGGUUCGGUAAUGGAAUCAAUAGCUUGCCCGAACAGGACCCUAGCUUUAUUGCGAGCCAAAAAUAUUGAGAAAUUUCCCUUCCAUAGGGAUCGUUGUGGCAUGAACUCAUUUCUGCCUUUCCUCACCCCGCCCUACCUUGUAACGGAGACUAAUUGGUUGAAGGCGGUGAGGCAUGGUCAGAGUGUAGGUUCGAAUCCUGCCACCUUUCUUGUAUAUCAUCCUGAAACCACAGGAUGAUGGGAAUAACAAAGCAUAAAUUUUGAAAUGAGCACGUCAAUAUAUGAAUUGUUUCAUUAUUCGUUAUUUCCGGGUCUUUUCGUUGCAUUCACUUACAACAAGAAAGAACCACCAGUGUUUGGUGCAGCACCUGCAUUUUGGUGCAUUCUUCUUUCUUUCCUUGGUCUUCCGUUCCGUCAUAUUCCUAAUAACUUAUCCAAUGACAACGAAUUGACCGCAAAUUCACCUUUCUUUUAUCAAAUCUCAGGGACAUGGUCUAAUCAUGAGGGUAGUAUUUUAUCAUGGUGUCGGAUCCUAAGUUUUUAUGGAUUCCUUCUUUGUUACCGGGGUCGACCCCAAAGCCAUAAUGUCUCAAAACGAGGAGGCCAUAGAGAAAGUCUUUUUUAUUCCUUUGUCUCAAACUUCGUGAAGAACUCCAUUCUAUCUCUCCCUAGUUACGAACAAAAAACUGGGGCUACGACCCAGUUGUACACUCCCUUCGUUCUAUGAACCCUUGUUGAUUCUGAACUUCGUUCGCGAAGGCGCCGGACUUUUGAUGGGCCAGCCCUUUUUUAUGCGCUGUUUUCCCAAAGAACUUUGCUCCUCUGGGUGCUAGGCGCUUCUGUGGUUCGCGAGAAGGAAAAAGGACUCAUCCUUUGUUGCAUCUGGCGCGAGAUGAUAAAGAGAGAGCUUCGUCUAUUGAUGAACAGCAGAUUCAUGGAGCUCUUGGCAUUGCUUUGUUUUUCUCUCCUUUCGUAUCGGCGAGUUCCGACCCUUUUGUUCGAAAUUUCUUCGUUCGUACCGAACCAUUUGCAGAAUUAAAUCCUGUUCCACAAGAUCCUAUAUCAGAUAUACAUCCUCCUUGCAUUUAUGCCGGAGACGUCGCCAGUGCUAUGGGCUUUGGCUUAUGUAGAUCAAAAAUGAUGAAUGGGAUUGUGGCACUCCACUCGCCGCCAAUGCGGAAGGAUGACGCCGAAAAGAAUGGAAGGCUCUUUCGCUCUGCUGCAUGCGUCGGAUCCCGUAGAACAAGCAAGCUCUUUACCCUAAAAUUAAAACAUAUGGGCGCAAAAGGCUAUCCUGCUCUAUUGUUACGAAGCAAUAGAAGCCUGCUUAUGUUGCUUCGACGGCGUUUCGCCUUCUCUUCGCUCUGGACAGGAGUGCUAGUGGAUACGGGGAGGGAGCAGGCAAAGCAUGUCGUUCGUAAUGGAAAGAAAGAGACCACUACUUCGCUUCUUUGUUGGAUCGCCGGCACGAACAUAGUGGUCUCUGACCAGGACCAGGAACCAAUUCGAAUUUUGAUCUUGACAUGUCGGUGUUUUUUAACCGUAGGCAUUUUGCCAGGAAGUUGGUGGGCUCAUCAUGAAUUAGGUUGGGGUGGCUGGUGGUUUCGGAAUCCUGUGGAAAAUGCUUCUUUUAUGCCUCGGGUAUUAGCUACAGCUCGUAUUCAUUCAGUAAUUCUACCCCUUCUUCAUUCUUGGACCUCGUUUCUGAAUAUUGUGACUCUUCCAUGCUGUGUCUCAGGAACCUCUUCAAUACGGUCCAGAUUGCUAGCUCCCGUUCAUAAUUUUGCUACAUAUGAUACACGAGGAAUCUUUUUAUGGUGGUUUUUCCUUCUAAUGACCGGCAUAUCUAUGAUUAUUUUCUCCCAGAUGAAGCAGCAGGCAUCGGUCCAUAUAACCUAUAAAAAAGAGAUGGUUGUGGCGUAAAGUACUCUUGUGCACCUACAUCACUCGGCUCGCGCGCAACCCCGCCCCGUUAUGUUAUAGAAGAAUUGAGCUUCUUGCUAGGCUGGUUAUUCAGAGCCAGCAAUUGGCUGUCGGAUUUCGUCCCGCAACUAGAAUAAGAUCGCUUCGGGGGUCACUGUGAUGUGGCUGAAUGUAGAGCAGCCCGCCCUUACAGCCUUUGAUCAGUAGAUUAUUUAGAACUUCGGAAGAUGGUCAAGGUAGCUUGCUUCCAAGCCACUGCACUAGAUGCGCAUGUAGUCAUAGUAGUCGGCCCACAAUGCCUCUGUUCUAUACUAAAAUACUAUUUCGUAUGAAUGGGGAAUUAAGUCGCUCUUUGAUCUGCAGAAUAAGGCCUACGAGCUCUCUCUUUUUAUGGCAGAGAUCUCUCCACACCAAGGAACCAAAUCACAAUGGAUCGAACAACUGGAAAUGAUAACAGAAUGCAUAGGUCAUUAGAAGGAGUUCAAAUAAGCGGAGAAAUAUAGUAUACCACCUUACUUCUUUCGUCUAUGAGGAAUAAAUAAAAUUGAAGAACCCGCGGAUAUGUGCAAAACUUUCAUUCUUGUUAGCCGGAAAAUGGCUCGUGGUAAAGACAAGAUAUACUUUGACCAGACGUGCUCGGAAUCUUUUUGUCGAUUCGGGGGAAGUUCUCGUACCUUCACCUCUACAAUUCGGUAAAGCGGCUUCGCCUCCUCGCUUUUGUUCAAUUAUAAAUAAAUAACCACUUUAAUGGAGAUUUAUAGCAUCAUUCAAGUAAAUACAGAUUAAGAUCGUAAAAACAUAAGCUUGUAAUAUAGCUACACCUAAUUCCAGACCGGUUAAUGCAAGAACUAUAAAUAAAGGACCAAGAUCCCCUAUAAAAAACAAAAUAUCAUUCAUACAUAGCAUAGUCCAAGCGAACCCACUUAAAAUCUUUACUAAACUAUGACCGGCCAUCAUAUUAGCAAAUAAACGUAUUCCUAAGCUUAAUGCGCGAAAACAAUAAGAAAUUAGCUCAAGGAGUACUAAAAAAGGUGCUAACGGCAGUGGGACUCCUGCGGGUAAUAAGAAGCUUAAAAAAUGAAGCCCAUUUCUUUGAAAUCCUACUAUAGUAAUGCCAAUAAAAAUGGAAAAUGAGAGACCUAAAGUAAUGAGAAAAUGACUUGUAACUGUGAAGCUAUAAGGUAUCAUACCCUGAAGAUUACAAAAUAACAAAAAAGUAAAAGUGACCAAGAUGCAAGGGAAAAACUUUUGUUUAACAUUUCCGGAAAGACCCCCUAUUUGUUCGUUUACCAGGUUAAGCACGAAAUCAUAAAUAAGCUCUACCAAGGAUUGCCAAGCAUUUGGUACUAAGUUUCCUCCUCCUUUUUUUGUAACAAAAUGAAUCAGAAGUAGGACCAAACUGAGAGUUAGCAGCAUAAACAAAGAUGAAUUUGUGAAUGAGAAAUACAAGUUUCCUAUCUUCAUAGGAAUCAAUGGGAGAAUGGAAAAUUGCUCAAGUGGGCUGUUGGGCGUAAUCGUAAGAAACACUUUUCAUUUCAUCCCUGUAGUUCCGCUUCUUGCUCUAAAAAUUAGGAAAGACUUGUCGGAAAUCGCCAGUUGGCUUGGUCCGACCAAGAAAGGCAUGGGACUCUUUGGGCAUUGCUUGGGUCGAGUGAAGUAAAGACUGGCUACCUAUAAUAUAAAGAUCCCUCACUGCACACUUUAGAUAUAAUGAAAACCUUUAGUUUAGGAGUCAUUCAGGCUAGAUCUAAAAAAAGAACAGAGCCUUCGUAUGACCCCUUUCUAGUACCCUAUCUUGAGCAGGAAAGUGUUCAGUAGGAAAAGACUGGAAGAAAUGGGAUUCGAACCCAUGCAUGAUGCAAUCUUCUUGUAUGUCGAUUUAGCAAACCAAUGCCUUAAGCCCUUGUGCUAUCCCCCCAUGAUCAGAUCAGAUAGCCCUUUGGGCAACCAACCCAUUUCGCUCUAUCAUUUCUUCUUUCUUUCCUAGCCUACUCAAAAACUAUUUAGGAAGGGCUACCGUUAUAUACGCAAUUAAUAAAGGAUGCCGAAUCAUCCACCGAAUCCUAUGUUUCAUCCUAGUUUAUUUGAUGUGUAUACCUGUUUUUCAGUUGGCCUCAUGUAUAUCUAGGCCAAUGUGUCUUAUUGGGCUUAGUAUGUGCUUAGUUUCGGUUAAUCCUUAGGCUCUUUUUGAUUACGUAGAAACUUGGAUUAUUUUUAGCCUUUGUAAUCGUAAUCUAAUUUCAAUAAUUUUUUCCAUAGGUUAGUUUCUUUAUUUUAGAGCUCGGGGAGUGUCUUGAGUUCUUUGUUUGGUUGCCUGGGGUGGGGUAUGCCCCUUCAUUUAUGUUUACUUCGGGGGUUCUCCUCCAUCGGUCAAUGUAUUCUUACUUACCGAAAAGAAAGACUAGUUAGGUACCGUAGGUAGAGCAUAUUCCAACACUUCGGAUAACCACUUGACAUUGGCACCUUGGCCAGGUAGAUCCGUCCCACUCUCCGGACCUCACCUCUGCUUUUUUGGAGUACGGGAUGACUCGGAUGGGCAGAUAAAACAGAACCUGUCAGUUACGCCUUUAGGGGCCGCCACGUAUAGCUUUAGUUUAUGCUGUAGCAUCGGUUAUUGCUCUGGUUACGAAUGACCCAAUCUAUCUAUGGCAACCACCCCUACUUUUAGUAGAUGGAGAUGCGCACCUAGGAAAGCGCGGAAUAGACCUACGUGUCGGCCAGUGCCGGGGCAGAGAUAGGGACCAUGAAAGCAUGGGAUUCAAUCGAACCUUUUCGGACAAUUCCUAACGCAGAAGAGGGAUGCUAAUAAGCUGACAGCUCAGGCAUGGCUUCAAUAGCGAAAGAAGUUCUUUCUGAUUUGAAUCAAGAAAGACAAUGAAUUUACGAGAUCUUGAUCCGUUCAGUGCCUUCACUUGUGAACAACAGGGACCCAUUCUGUUGAUUGCUUCUCUGCCCCAGCUCUAACAAACUGGUUUUUCUUUCUCACAGAAUUAGGGAAAUCAUUAGAUUCUUCUUCCUUCUUUCGGUAACAUAUACCGAGAUAGGCUGGGAAAUCCCCCUUCGAUAGACAGGUGGCAACUUGACCUCUAAGUAAGGACAGGAACGCCCGUGCCCAAUCAAACACCACAAUCAUGAAAAGCACCUGAACCGAGACCUAAAGCUGAACCGCUGAAGGAACCUCUUUCCGUUGUUAAAGCAAGUACGCUUUUCAAGCUUUUUCCUUACUCUUACUAAAGCAGGCACACGCAAAACUCUCUAUUUGGCUUUUCACUGAAACCAAUACGUCUAAACAUAAGGUAGGUGCUUUCACGACUCACUAAACGGGGGAUCAAAAUCUUUGCGCAGUAGAGGCGGAGGACGAAGCGAAUGUAGAGGACACAGCAUAUCCAGGGAAGGAAGAUGGACUGGACUCACUCUCAUUCAUGGCAUGGGCAAAAGCAGCCCUAAUGACUUUCAGUGAAGAUAUGCUUAUACGGCGAAGUCAGUCACAAAGUCUAUGUUCGUAUGCUUUCACUCUAAGCCGACCAUCCAAAAAGGAUGUGCACAAUUGAUCAUUGACCGCAGUCUUCUCUUUUCUCUCCCAAUGUGGGGAACUUUUUUCGGUUUUUUUCUCUUCAGCACAGCACUCAAUGGUGAUGCAUGGCGUCAUUACUGAAUCCUUUCAUUGACCUUUCUUUUCUAUAACGAAAAAAGCCCUCCUCUCGGUGAUGUGGGUGAGAAACCCAAAUCAGAAAAGCUCAGCAAGCCAAUGGCUCAACGGUUCUCACCACCCUCCUCUGGCGCAAACACCGUUUGCUGCGCUGCGCUCAUCACGAGAAGCCGGGGAACUCUCUUGGGUGGACUUCAAGCGCGAUGAUAGUCAGUCUGAAGUUUUCUACUAUGCCAUCUUUAUUAGUUCAAAGACCGGGCUUGGGGGUUGGUCUCAGUGGUCAAUGAAAAUGUACUAGUGUGCUGUCUUAACAUGCAGAAAUUUUAUUAGACUGCUAGCUUUACCAGCGGUAGGAGGGUGAAAAGACAGUGCAUGAGCGAAGUACGAUCCUCUUUUUUUGUAUCCCAUCGACGAUAUUCUUUGGUUUUGGUACAUAACAAUUUGCAUACGCAAAGUCGAAUAUUUGUUGCAAAUCUAGAUCCUGCACUCUCAUCUCUAGUCUCUAGCUAUCAUCUUAAUAUAUUAGUCAAGCCAUAUCUUGUACUUUCUUGGGCCUAACUAAGAAAAGAGAACAAGAAAAGCAAAAGCAAAUACGAAUUUCAGCCAGGCUGCUUCAUUCAAGUCUAGGACUUAGACAAGACUUAUAAAUCGAGUAGUUAUAAAGCAGUUUAAUCGCAUUUAUCGUCUCUCACUUAGCUCUGAUCUGGUGUCAUCGCUCACAGUCCAAGAAGAGUAGUCCUUUCAUUGGCUAGUGGGAUUACGCUUAAUGGGAUAGACCGAUCAUCGCUUCCUUCCUCUACUAGUUCUGGAGUCAAGCCCGCACAGAAGUAGACUCCUUCCUUUUUCACUGGCUAGCAUCAUAGGGAUAUUCGACGUUUAAUGAGAUAGUCUAGUUCUAGACUAAAGCUAGCAAAAAACAAGACUGAGGUCGAUAGGGGCAUUACUAGUAAUUGCUAAGGUGCUUUAUUAAGUAUUUUCCACGCUCCUCUCCAGUCUCUUUCCAGCCUUUGUGAUUUCAUAUAUUAUUCCCAUAUGCCAUAUCUCUUAUUCAAUCUUGCUAUACGUCCAAGCUUGGUAGUUGGAAGCAUAACUGAGACUGGAUGUGACAGGAGGAAAAGGGAGAUAGGUGUGAUAGGAGGGCACGGUUAAAUAGGUAAGCGAAGGCUCUCUCUCGCUCUGUGGUCUUGUGUGAACUCCUUUCUGCCCAUUAUUGAUCUUCACUCUAAGUGAGCAGGUCAAAGCAGUUGAGGUGAUAGCAAUAGUAAGCAGGGAAGUAGAAGCAAAAGGUCUUCAAAGAACUUUUGUGUAAUAAAGCUCCUUGGUCUCAUUUCAUUGGUCUCUAAGGCAAAGUCUCGCUUAAUCGUUCAUCGAUCUUUUUCUGUAAGGCCUCGGGCCCCACGAAUUCCGAUUUCUGUUUUUGUUUGUAUUAAAGUGUUGGUAGCUUCUAGCCUCGAGCUGGAAAGUCUCAUCGGCGGGGGUACUAUAGAUAUAUCAUAACUCUCUAAUUGAGACUCAAUCUAUACAAUCAAUCAAUCAGUAUGUGCAAUAUACCGGUCUUUGCGAUAUGCUCUUUCAAAUAGAUCACAGAUCUUCCCGCUUAGCUGCACUGCUCUCUGAGCUCUUUUGUCCGCUAUCGCUUCCUCUAGUACUAGCUCUGAUCUCUCUUCAGCAGUUGCAGUACGAUUCUUUAAUUCAUCUCCUGCCCUUUAUAGUCGUAAUCGCUAGAAACUCUAUAUCAUUGGCAAUUGGCAUUGGCGUAAUCUUUUUUCUCCUGUCGGAAGGGGGUCCUGUCGAAAGCAAGAAAAGGCAUUGCAAAUGGCGUGCCCUUACUCUAAUUCUAAAUAAAGCUCUUUUGCGCUCUUGGUCAGGCCUGUAACAAGUAUCUAAAAAAUCUUUUCUUUUCGGCCUAUGGUUCGGUCAAAGCAAUGACUUGAGUGAGUAAGGAAGUAGGACCUUUUUACCCCGGCUGUGAGUUAUUACUGACCCCUCUCUGUCUCUCCCCCGCGCUGUGAAUGAAGUGAGUAAUUCGUUGGUGCUUGCCCUUCAGUAAGUAGUUCGGAUGGCUGGAUACAUGCUACGCUCUGCCACGCUUGCCUGACCGCGAGAAGCCUUAGGGUAAAAUAAUCUUGAACAGCAAUUUGAGAGCAUCUUUGGAAUUGAAAGAAGGGGCUAACCUGACUUUCACUUUCAUAAAAAGAGAAAACUGGACUUGCACUUUAAGAAAUGGAAUUGCGAUGAGCCAGAAGUUAGAAUCUCGCCUAACCACCUGUCUCCGUCUCCCGUAGUUCCCCCCAGAAACAUCCGUUUGCCUACUUCUACUCUGGCCGGGGGUAACAGUCUUUUUGAGAACCAAGUGGCCCUUGAGGAAGACCUUCAGAAAACCCCUCUAACUCGGGGAAAGGAAUUCAAGCCCAUAAAAUGAGUCAAGUCUAUGAUAGGUACCAAUAGUCUUUACGGCACUCUUACCCCUUAUGCAAAGCACCAAUGACUUCGGUCUUCUGAAAGGGGCUUAGAGCAUAUCAUCAAAGAAAGAAUCCCAAGGAAGUGGGUGAAGCUGAGGUUAGAAAUGGUUUCUCCUGCUGUUGCUAGUUCUUUCGUUGUUGGUAGUUCCUCAGGUCGGGUUGUUUAUUUUCAGAGCUUUUUCAAUUCUUUCAGAACCUUUCGUAUGCGCCUUUUGGAAGAUUUGGGGUACCUCCUCUCUUUCCGAUCUCAUUCAAAUAAUAAGCCAGUCCGGUUUAUUAGAUAGUGAAUUGGUAAGAGAGGUGCUUGGUCUGUCUCCGAAUGUGGGCCUAGAAGCACUAGCCGAGUCUCUGAAUAUUCCCGAGGGUUCUCAAGGAUAAAGAAGCCUUAAGGUGCUAACGGAGCUUCCACGGUCUCAGUCCAUGAAGGUGCUUGCUUUAUUGGUUGGCAGCUUGGUUAUAGUCGUUAUGAAGAAUGAAGGAGCGAUGAAGGAGCUCACUUCCAUGACAUGGGAAAGGAUCAUGGGAUGAGGAAAAGAAAGAAAAGGUGCAAGGUGAGGAGAUAUCGAGAGGUAGAAUAGGUGAAAUGAGUUCAAAGGAAUUAGUUAAGACACGCUUCUUUAGCACAGGCCACGGAGUGAAGUUGGAAGGUUCAAUGAACUACGCGAAGGGGAAAUCUUGGGCGCUAUUGUUGUCUAUAUACAAGUGGCGUAGGCGAAGCUGUGGCGACUCGUGGAGUAGACAGCGAGCUCCGCUUGAACAGAAAGCAGCAAGCUGCAAGCACUACUCCAAAAGCAGUGAGCUCCACAACAAAAGCGAAGCGAGCCGUGGUAGCCUAUUAAGUUUUUCAGCUGCAUCGUACCGUACUAUGGAAGGGGUCUGUACCUCCUUUAGAUAGAUCCCCCUGCUCCUAAUGUAGAGCUAGAACUACUACUACCGUGGAAUCCGCAGUCACACAUAAGUAUCUCGCCUUCCAAAAAAAGCGGUUGCUAAUUAGCACUAAUGCUAAUGGGGACCAUCGAUCAAGAAGGACUUCGGAGACUGCAAUCGAAUUGAUCAAAAAAGAGAAAUAGGGCCAACUCUUCUAGUUGCGCCUCUAACCUUACUACGCUACCCUGAUAAAAGGUCGAAUUCAGCAGGACUGCAGGCACGAAAUGCUGAUCAAAUCCGUUAAAGGAAGCCUAAUCAAAUCGGGCAAACAAGAAGAUCUGACUGAGUUGAUGAUGGACCAGAUCUCGAAAGGCGAGAGGCUUUCAUAAAGACGUAUGAGAAACGGAGGGUCGAGAGAGGCUUAUUGCACGAUCCACCCAACCGCUAAUAAAUGCUGCAUAAGAUAAGAGAGUGGGAGGCCGGCCCCCGCCCAUCUGGAGGUGCACACCCAUUUAUGAACAUAUACAAAGGGCUAAAGAGAGAAGUCCAUGGAGAACUACCAAAUCCAAUGACUUUGAUUUGUUCGUACCAUUCUGUCAUCGAUCACUGCUGGGUCGGUUGGUGAGUCACCCAAAAAAAGCAUCGAGAAAGGUCAAGCAUAUAUGUUUUAUGAAAUGAUCAGCGGUUUCAUUUAUGCUAUGCCCUGCAUCGUGUUCGUCUGUGUUUAUUGAGCUUUCAGCGCCAUGCGCUUUGCUUCGCUUUAUAAAAGAGAGAGAGCCUUGUCUUGAGAGUGAAAAGAAAGGGCAAGCGAUAGAAAGGAUAGUCCCUCGCGCGUUCGCGAGAACUACUAGAAAAUGGUGAGAUCAUUAGAUCAUUAGUGAAAGAAGGACCAACGACGAUCCUAUCCUAAAGGAGAAGAAGGAGUAGGAGGAGUCAGUUUUCUUUGAAGAUCGAGGAAUCAAUCUCCCAAUUAUGCCAUUCGGAAGAAGUCUUCUACAGAGGGAAAGCCUGUUACGAGUAAGUGGAGAGGAAAGAUCUCCAGAGAUUCUUAUCUCAUUCCAUUCCAGUGGCUCAACCAGUAACCAAUGGCGAAAACUAAAAAAUCCAUGGUUUCCCGGUAGAACCCUAUUUCGCCCAAGUUGUUUCAGAACCGGAAAAAAGAAGCGNACCGGAAAAAAAGAAGCGGUUUUUCGCACAGCUUGCGCAUAGUGCAGGUCCCACUUCUAUAUCGUAUUUGGCCGAAGAAGCAUCGGAUAGGUUGGAGUUCUUACCUUCUUGGGAUUCCAUGGACCAAGAUCGGCUUUUAUUAUAUGGGCAAUGCCGAUCUACUUUAGUAGAUCAUAUGGAUGUAGAAAAAGCUUCUCGUUUUGAUGAAUUGGAAACAUCUCUUUUCCAUUUCUAUUUACCCAGUUCAUAUCUUUGUUUCGUGUGUUCCCCGGAGGAAUUCGAUCUCUUCAAUCUCGGGAUACCACCUAAAUAACUAUAACUGCGGCCAGAGAGUCAAAUAGGUCGGGAAGAAAGAGUCUGAGGUUGGGUUGGACGACAUACAUCUUGGUUGGUCCCACCACCACUGGGGAUUGGACAUAUAUAGAAUCUUUCUUCUAAAAAAGUCUUAUUAUAUAUAUAUAUAAUUUUAUAUUCUUAUUUAUUUAAAUAGCUGCAAGACCACAAAACGGGGUGAAAAAAACCGAAAGCCCUUCUUUUAAGUUCCUCCCAGAUACAUGGCUUACAUACCCGGCUCAACAUUCUUGGAAAACAAUCGAAUCGAGGGUCCGGAGGAGAAUUGGCCAUUCAAUCUUGUGAACUAAUCGAGACCGAAAUUGGAGAAAGAGAUACGAACGGAAAGGAAUAACCAAUCGAUGAAAGAACAUGAAACCAUUCUGUUUCAAUAGAGGUACGAGAAAGGGUUGGGGGCAAUGAAGUAGGUGAAGUGGUUGGAUUUUGCGAGCUGUUCCCACCACUACUGGAUGUGAUUCCAAGAGCCGAACGAGAAUGAAUACCACACAGAAAAGUCAAGACCAGGCUCCUUAAUGAAAUGUUUAACCGAUCCAUUCCGGAUUGACCGAAUUGGUACGGAAGUUGUAACAUGGGAAAACCACGGAAAACACGACUUAUUUGAAUAACCCGGUGACCUACCAAUUGUAGAAGUAGGAUUUUUGGCAAGCAAUAAGCACUUAAAUAAUACAAUUCAAGUGUACCAUCUUCUUUCUCAUUUCGAGGAAAAGGUGCGGAAGGAAAAGGAAACAACGGAGGGAUCCGAAUCGGACCUAAAUGGGAAUGACAUGAAAAGUCUUUUUCAAAACCUAGCAUUAAGGGCGUUACGACGAUAUAUGAGAGGAAUGGAGAAAAACUCGUGAUUGGUGUGGAGGGGAAGGUCUGUUUAUAAUAUAGUUCAAGAAAGAGUCGUCUCAUUUCCUUACUUCUUCGUUCUUUCUAAUUCAUUCACUUCAAGACUGGUUCUGAACGCCGCGUAACAUCAUCUUCAACCAACCUCCAUCGUACCGGUGCGACCACUAAAGAAUUGCUUAUACACUAAACAGCUGCUUAUAUACGCUUACUAAAAGACUGACUUUUAUUCAUAUUCAAUUCAUUAGGCCAGCGUGAAACUAAGAAAGAUAGAUGUGCCUAAGGCGUAAGCAAACUGUGCACGCUAAGAGAAGAGGAGAGAUGUUCGCAAUGACUACCACAAGAAAGCCGCCCCCUCUCUCUAAAAGGGCCCGUCACUUCGUUCGUACCUUCUUGGCUUAGGCUUGCAACUUCACUUACUUUAUGGCCUUGCCGCCUUUUUAUAGCAGAAGCUAAGCGCUUGAAAAGCGCGCUAAGAAAGGUUGCUUCUGUCGGCCUUUAUGUGCAACAGUCCACCAGUAGCGGAAGAUAGGGUUACCGUACAUACAAGAGUCUUCCAGUUCUUACGGAAGCUCUUUCUUACCAGUCAAGUAGUACAACAGCUGUCUCUUAUCUUAUAGCCCGGCGCGGCGGGUCGCCUUUUUAAUUCAGUAGAUAGAAGAAAGUAUUAGAUAAGGAGUAGGUGAGUGAGUCCUCGCUGACCUGAGCGAUUUCGAUCACCUAGCAGGCCUUUUCUUUGGUAGGUAACAUCGCCAAAGCGUAUCAUCAGAUUUGACUACGAAGGAAGGAACUCGGCAGAAGAUCGGUCUGCAAGAAAGGCCUACUUAUCCACGGGUUCAUUGACAAAACCGCCGUAGGAAUGGAGACCUUUCAAUAGAGCGGAGGCGAACUGAUCAACGAGAAAGAGGCCCUACUCACUACAAAGGAAUACACCACAAGAUCGAACUGCACUCAUGCCUCUCCCGCAUCAAGUUGACCGCCAGACUGGAGCUUCGUAACAUGUUGACGAAGACCUCCGAACUGAGGGUUCGGUCAGUACAAGAGACUACUUUGUCUCCUCGGAAGAAGAAUAGCCCCGCUCUCUAGCCGACUGAUCCCGUUGAUCAAACUGGGAGGGAACGUGUCACAUUAGAGGUGAACGAUCAGAGGUGUCCUCUAAUCACUACGAUGAGCUGGUCCCUCUUUUAGUAGACUCAGCUAUGAAUAUUCAUGAAAAAAUGAAUGCCUCUUUCACAGCUAACCCCAUUUUCUUAAUGCCGAGACUUUCUCUUUCGUCGAGCCCCGAGCUUGUGGUCCUCCUUUGAGUUUGGGUUCAAUUGGAUGAAUCUGUCAAGUCAAGGUCAACGUACGUAGCAGCAAGGAUGGUGCAUCGCCUCUUUCUCGUUCUCGCUCGGGAGCCAAAACGAACACGCCUGCUACCUACUGUACUGGACCUUCGACCAGGCAUUCUACCUUUGUCGAAUCGGAACCAAUACCACUGCAUUGCGCUCGAACAGUUGAGCGGCCGCCGGCCCUUCCGUGCACAGAUAUAGAUUCAUUCUUCGUACCUGGUCCAGCCUCACAACCCUUCGCGGGUUGGUAAGAAGUCAGUCUUGUUUGGUAAGACGGAAUUUUACAAAGAAAAGAGAGUGCUCGCCCCGGCCAACAAAGACCGUAAUUACAUAGAUAACUGCUCCUCCCCUUCUCCGUCUUUAAGGCUUUAAGGCGAACCGUAUGGCGGCUGGAAAUAAAGACGACCUCACCUUCUCGUAGAUGGUGUCAGUGAGAGCCAUUUUAGUACCCCCCGUUGACCUUUUUUUGUAGAUAGAAUCUUCAAUGAGUGGAAACAAGCAACCUUACUAAGCUAAGAAAGGUGCUUGUUGAGUAAGGCCGGCUUUCUUCGAAUGCUUGAGCGCUUCUUUCUCAUAUCGAUCAUUCAAUAUCCUUGACUUUUCAAUAAGGGGCGCGUUAGCUAGGCCGUUUUCUUGCAGGAGUGCUAGCGCGCGCCCUUACGUUUUCUUCGCUUGCUCUGCAGUACGAGCCUCAUACAAAGCCGCGCCCCUUUAAUAUGAUGAAGAGGGGCCGCCCUCUUUUCUUUUCCGCACCAAUCCUUAUUUACUACUACAUCUUUUUUGGGGUGUAUAGCUCAGUUGGUAGAGCAUUGGGCUUUUAACCUAAUGGUCGCAGGUUCAAGUCCUGCUAUACCCAAACCUAACUUGCACUAUACUAUGAGUAAGGAUGCGUAGUAGCGCAAAGAGCACUCUUUGGCCUUUAGAUUAGAGGCGCUUCGCCGUCUUUGAUUGGAUGGAAACAUCUAUCUAAAGUGUGCAGUGAAGGAGAAGAGUAAAUAGUAGGGGAAAGAAGAAAAUGGCACAUUGACAUUCAUCUUCCUCUCGAAGGGCUUUGAGAAGAGGGGCAACAGUGAAGAUACCGAGACCGUGUCUAUGGGGUCUUAGUAAGAAUCUGUUGCAAGCAAAUGCAUGUAAGGGAGGAAUGCCCGCAUUAAGAUUUAAAACUUGUCGUCUACUUGAAGGAAAUGUUUGGAACAGGAAACUUACAAUAAUACAACGCCGCAUUCUUCGAAGAUUGAGGAACAAGACGAGAUCUAUUAAGAGAAUGAUUUAUUCUCGAAAAAAUCUGAAUAGUUACAUCCAAUUACAAACUACACGAAAGUUGCCCCUUUUUCAUGGAGAUUUACCCAUCACAGAGAUGCAUAGAGGAACAGAACGAACUUCAUAUAUCCCUUUUCCACUCAAUCCAGAAACAAGAUCGGACGUUAUUCCGGUUCGUCUCCAUUUUAGUGAAACUCUUCCUCAAGCAAGGCAGCCGAUAAGUCAUCGAAGGCUUUUUGUUAAUAAUGUAAUAGUCAGCAUUACUUCUUUUCAAGUUUCCCAAGGUGAUUUCAUAUCUUUUAAAGAAAAUGAUACUCUAAUCUAUUCAGAAAUAAGGAGAUCCUUCUAUAUCGAAAUUUCAGUUUCUAAAAUCAUAGGAAAAUUCCUGGAUAGCCCGGUAAGAAUGUGGAGAAGAACCAAAACGGAAUGGUUCCGCUUACUUAAAACUAAGAGGGGAUGCCGCCUACUACUGAAAGACCCGUUUUUGCAACAGUUGCGUUCUUCUAUGCAAGACGAAGACUUAGAAAGAACAAAGAAGUUUGGAUCCGAAAAAGUAUGCUUAGGCAGUUCUUU